rnacentral:rRNA from 1 species
CCUUGUAUAAGCUUCUAGUAGUGUAUUCUUUUCGGGCUUCAACGCUCAUAAAUAAAUCCUUUAUCUCCUAAACAUUAACAUUCCUUUUUUUUUGGAACUUAAAACUCCAGCACGAUAUCCAUGCCAGUUAUAGUGGCAGAACCGUGCCUAGAAAUUCGUUGUGGCUCAGAGGAACCUGGAGCGGAGCCGGUUAAGCGACCGUCUAGGGGUUUGGCUAGUUAAAAAGAGUGGUUUUCCCAAACCCGCACAGUCCUAACCUAGCUACCGGUGCCGCUGCCGCCGCCGUCCCCUCCACGACGUCGUGUACCCUGGCCAGGGAGCUCACCUUCUCUGGUUAUUAUGCCGCCGCCGCCGCCUCCUUGAGCCCCCUCUGCUGCUUCUCUAGGACGCUAAGUACCUGAGCCGCCUGCCGAUGGAGGAGGACUACCUAAGCGAGAGGAGGCGAGAAGCGGUCCCAACCGAACUAGACCGUUCACGAGCGGUGAGCUACCCGCGUAGUGCACAAAGUUCAUACGACAAACUAGUAUUUCUCGUUAGACGUCGGUGAUUCGACGUUCAUCAAAUAGGACGUCUGAACGUUGGUAGUCUUAGUUUGGGUGUAAAAAGAGAUAGUUUCACCACGAACGUUCUUCUUAGUUUGAGGUCACUAUAACAGACACGCGUCCUAUCGCGAUGUCGUUUUGAUUCCAUGUCUCCUAGUCGACGAUGGGGUCUAUCAUCAUUACUUAGUCUACGUUGAUGACGUUUCAGAAGAUGACCACAACUGCAAUUGUCAGUCCAAGUUUUCCGCUCUAGUUUUCGUAAUAGUCAGAAACCUCGUAACCACAGAGGUUUUGACGCUUGCCGGGUUCAAAGGAAACUUUGUCGUGAACUUGAUUAACACCUCAAUCGAUUACGUUCUAGUCGGUAGGAGAGAUCAAAGAGGGUCUAUUUCGUACUUCGUACUAAAGGAUGGACUCAAACUCCAAGACAUAGGAACGCGCGGUAGAUAGGAUAAACCCAAUGGUCGUUAAUAUGUUAGUCGUUACCGACACCUGUGAUAUACUUGACAACUACAUGCACACCCUUACAUAUAAAAACAGGUAAACAAACAACAUGAAACUGAAAGGAAUAGUUGGUACCCUUGUUUCUGUCAUCAAAAAAAACAUUCAACUAUAAGUAAAUGGUUCAAUUUGAGAGACUAAUAGUGUUGACGUUUAAAUCCAAACAUACCAACUUUAUCUUUGUAUUUAUGUAGGCUCAACGGAUCGGACAUUGGUCCCCGGACUACUGUAUUCUGUAUACAACAAGCUUACGUUUAACCGUUACCUGCACACCUUCUACGAGCCAGAACUCGAACAAUAGUUUGUCCGUGACUUUCAACUGUUCCGUCCACUCGAACACAACCGUGUAGAAAACACGGUAGGUCUUGUUGUUUAAGUUCACAACCCGAACGGCUUCAAGUCUCUUUGCUACCGUUGCUGCCGAACCAUAGACACCAUACUUUCCGCUUUUAACUGUGUACUGCUUCUUUGAGUUUCACGUAUAGUUUAGUUAUACAGUCACUCUCCGAAUCAUCGUUUAAUAUGGUAGAGAAUAUCGGGUUUCCGAGUGCAGGCAAGUCUACGAACCAACUUUGGUUUCAUACCAAUGCACUUUAAUUUACAACUGCGCCCUAAACUAUCACUGUGUGAGCGUCGUUGUAAACCUCGUCAAUAGGUCCUGGUACCCUCCUUUAAAUAUCGCCGACGAUUAUUUUUCUACCUGGAAACGAAACUGAACAAGUGUCGUCUUCGUUAACGUCACUCCAAACCAAACUUAGAACGAUUAUGGCAACCUACAUCAUUCUAACUUCACUGAAGCCUAUCGCACCUCCACCACUUACGCAACUCGGUUCCGAUGAGAAGAAGUCAGCGAAGUAGGUAAUAUCUGCUGAUAAUAAAGUACAGUAAUCCAAAAAAGGUACAGUAAAUACUAGUAACAUUAUCCCUUAUAUUAGCUCAUCGAGUACUUGAUCGUUCCAAUCGAUCCAAAAGAAGAAGCUCACAAACCUACCUAUUGCGGAGAUUACUCCAAUAGGGAAAUGAACAUUUGCUACGAUGAAAUGAAUACUUACUUAUUUCUUCUUCUUCAAA